rnacentral:rRNA from 1 species
AGUAACGCGUGGGUAACCUGCCUUAUACAGGGGGAUAACAGUCAGAAAUGGCUGCUAAUACCGCAUAAGCGCACAGAGCUGCAUGGCUCAGUGUGAAAAACUCCGGUGGUAUAAGAUGGACCCGCGUUGGAUUAGCUAGUUGGUGGGGUAACGGCCCACCAAGGCGACGAUCCCUAGCUGGUCUGAGAGGAUGACCAGCCACACUGGAACUGAGACACGGUCCAGACUCCUACGGGAGGCAGCAUG